rnacentral:rRNA from 1 species
UACAGAGGGUGCGAGCGUUGUCCGGAAUCACUGGGCGUAAAGGGCGCGUAGGCGGUCUCUUAAGCGUGUGGUGAAAGCCCGGGGCUCAACUCCGGGUCGGCCGUGCGAACUGGGGGACUGGAGCUUGUCAGAGGCAGGCGGAAUUCCGGGUGUAGCGGUGGAAUGCGUAGAGAUCCGGAAGAACACCGGUGGCGAAGGCGGAUCUCUGGGCCAUUACUGACGCUGAGGAGCGAAAGCGUGGGGAGCGAACAGG